rnacentral:lncRNA from 1 species
CGACGGGAAGCGGGGUCCCGGGGGUGGCAGGAAAACAGCUUCUGCGCGCGGGGACAGAGCGUCAGCAGAGAAGAGAAAGAUUCCAGGAUCGGAAGUGGUGGCGGGCAGGAUGCGGUCGCCGCAGACCCCGAACCAGGCUCCAGACAAGCCCCGCGUGUGGUCGCUGUACCAGACUUAGGGGGGAGGAAGGGGACUGAAGACACACAGGUUGGAGAGAACACGGGGACAUGAUCACGGGGACCCAGGAAACAGACUAGGGAGGAUAUGAGGACACUGUCACAGGGACCCAGGACCCAAGUUAGAGGACACGGGAACCCUGUCACCGGGACUCAGGACACAGGUUAGAGAGGACACGGGGACAGUGUAACAGGAACUCAGGACACAGGUUAGACAGGACACGGGGAAACCCUCACCGGGACUCAGGACACAGGCUAGAGAGGACACGGGGACUGUGUAACAGGGACUCAGGACACGGGUUAGAGAGGAACGGGGACGCUGUCACAGGGGCUCAGGACACAGGUUAGGGAGGACACGGGGACAGUGUCACAGGGACUCAGGACCCAGGUUAGGGAGGACACGGGGACAGUGUCACAGGGACUCAGGACACAGGUUAGAGAGGACACGGGGAUGCUGUCACCGGGACUCAGGACACAGACGUUAGAGAGGACACGGGGACAGUGUCACAGGGACUCAGGACACAGAGGUUAGAGAGGACACGGGGACGCUGUCACAGGGACUCAGGACACAGGUUAGAGAGGACACGGGGACACUGUCACAGGGACUCGGGACACAGGUCAGAGAGGACACAGGGACAGUGUCACAGGGACUCAGGACACAGAGGUUAGAGAGGACACGGGGACGCUGUCACAGGGACUCAGGACACAGGUUAGAGAGGACACGGGGACGCUGUCACAGGGACUCAGGACACAGAGGUUAGAGAGGACACGGGGACGCUGUCACAGGGACUCAGGACACAGGUUAGAGGAUUCGAGUACAGUGUCAAACAAGACUGAC